rnacentral:rRNA from 1 species
CGAGCGAACGUUGUUCGGAAUCAUUGGGCUUAAAGGGCGCGUAGGCGGGCUGUCAAGUCUGGGGUGAAAUCCCGCGGCUCAACCGUGGAACUGCCUCAGAUACUGACGGUCUCGAGGGAGGUAGGGGCGAGCGGAACUGAUGGUGGAGCGGUGAAAUGCGUUGAUAUCAUCAGGAACUCCGGUGGCGAAGGCGGCUCGCUGGACCUCUUCUGACGCUGAGGCGCGAAAGCCAGGGGAGCAAACGGG